AUGAUUACUAAUCAUUGCACUGAUUGGUUUGGCAUAGUUCUCUCUAGGAUUAAGGGUGUGAGUGCUACACCUGCCUUAGGGCAGGUAACCUUCAUAAAUGUAAGGACAGAAAGAGUGUACUGUGUUCUUGUCUGUCUGCCUGCCAUGGACUGUUUCUUCUCUGCCCUGCCCCUCUGCCAUGCCACCCUGCCUUGGAGUCAACCACUAUGCACUGAAACCUCCACAAACUGUGAGCCAAAUAAACCUUUUCUCCUUCAACUUUGGGUGUUGAGUAUUUUGUCUCAGCGACAAGAAAAGUAAGUAAGACAUUAAGCUUGAGGGAUUUUUUUAUAAAACGGCAGCAUGAUUUCUGUGACUAAAUGUCUGAUAUUCAGUUAUCAUCCUCGAACACUGAGUAUCAGAAUCAGACUUGCUUUCCUGGAUUCCCAAGAAGAAUCUUGUCCUGAGCAAGGGUUUUCCUUUAUUCUUCCUGAAUCCUGCUCACUGCCACUCCUGUCCUGGUGCUCUGGCACCUGUGUCUGACCACAUGCUUCCCUAAGAGACCUUGGAUUUCUGUGGGAAACACCCCAGCCAGGCAGCAUGAUCAGCACUGGGUCUGCUCAGACAUUACUAUCAUCCUGCAUGGGGCAGGAGUUUCACUGGUUAAUUUUUUAAUAGUUUUCUUGAAAUAUAAUUCACAUGCCAUGCAACUCAGCCAUUUAAAAUGUUCAAUUCCCUGGCUUUUCACACAUUCAGAGUUGUGCAACUGUCACCACAAUCAAUCUUUGAACAUUUUUAUUACUCCAAAAGGAAAGUCAAAUCCCUAACCCAUCAUCCCUCCCAUCAUCCCCUAAACCCUCCCACUACCCAGCCCUGGCAAACAUUAAUCUACUUUCUGUUUCUAUGGGUACACCUGUUUAGAUAUUUUAUAUAAAUGGAAUCAUAUAAUAUGUGAUCCUUUACCUGACUUCUUUCACUUAAUGUGUUUUCAAGAUUCAUCCUUAUUGUAUCCAUAAACAUUUCUUUUUUAUUGCAGAAUAAUAUUCCACUGCAUGGACAUACCAUAUUUUCCUUAUCCAUUCGUCAGUUGACAGACAUUUGGAUUGUUCCCACUUAGGGGCUAUUAGGAAUAAGAUCGCUUUCUGUGUAGAUGUUUUUGCAACUUUCUGUGUAGAUGUUCUUAUUUCUUUUUGGUUGUCCACCUAGGAAUUAUAAUGUAUUAGGAAUCUAUGUCUCAUGUUCUGAGGCACAGUAGGGCCAGGAUUGUUUUCUGAAAUGGUUCCACCAUUUUCUGAAUUCCCACCAGCAGUGUCUGAAGGUUCCUAUUUUUCUUCAUCCUCUUUAGCAAUUUUUAUUAUCUUUCUGAUUGCAGUUAGCCUAGUAAUGUGAAGAAGUGGGAUGCUUUUCUGCUCUUACUUACAGUUCUGGUUUCCUUAAGGCUUCUGAGAAACAGGAAAAGUAGUUGUUCUUCAUUCGUGAGCAGAGAAGUAUGGAGGAAGGGUAUCUUAUUUAGUGCUGAGUUUUGUAGCUCCUUACCAAUUUAUUUUUAAUGUUCAGAUAAGAAAGGGAUGGGAAACUAGAGCUAGAGUUAACAAAAAUGAGUACAGAUUCUCCAUUAUAUCAAAGCAAUAAAGUAUAAUUUUAGCAGUGCAGCUGAGGAAGGAAGAGUUUUGGUGAGUAACAUUAACUCCCAAAAUGUCAUUAAUGGCAAACUUUGUUGCACACAUGAGCUAGAAAUGAUAGACCAAGUCAUAAAAACUUGUUUAGGGAAUUUGGAUCUAGUGUUUUUAUUUUUUAGCAUAUCUGUAUUUACUCCUGCUUCCAUGGGUCUGUUUCUUUGCUUUAGGGAAAAUGAACCCACACUGGACAGCACUUCCACAUUGUCUACUGGAGGAAACGGUUCUUCUGCUUGGUGUGGCCUGUCUGUGUCUUCAGUAUCACCGCCAGCCACGCCUCCUGUUCUGUAGCUCUCUAUGAGAAAGCUUGGAAAUUGGAGAUAUUUAAAACUGGGUGUUACACAUAAAAGCUGUAAGGCCUUGGGCUCCCAGGGGUUUCUAGAAAAGACUUAGCCAGCAACAGUGAAAUAACGGGGGCAGGCAAAGACAGCUCUCUGCCCUGUGGAGCUACGGGCCAUCCUCCUUGAUGUCUGCCUUCUGAGCACCUCAAUCAGUGCUGAGCAUACAGAGAUGUUCAGUAAGCACUGGAUAAAGCACUGCUGUAGGCCUUACCAUCAAGAUGGGGAAAUUGUAGCUUUCAGAGGUAUUUUACUGCCUGGCAUAUGAUUGGAGCCAUCGCUAGAGCCAGAGUCAUCCAUUCAUUCAUUCAACAAGCCUGUGGUGUUAAGAUCUACUAGUGCAGGGCAUUAGAGACCUCAAGAGUGCAAGCACGGACAGAUUUUUUCCUGUUAUUUUCACCCAUAAAUGCUUACAUAAAUCAUGAAAUAAUGAUACAGCAAAAUUAUCUUUUAAGGUGCCCACUUUGGGAACAUUGAGGGAGAAAAGCCUGAAACAUUCUUGCUCAAACAUCAGAGAAUGUACAAAACCAUACACAUCCACAGCCUAUUUCCAGCUCUGAUACCUAGCUGAGAUAUGUUUAUUUAAGCCCAAUCACUAGUCAGAUAUUUGUGGACAUCUUUAGUCACCAGAUGAUUUUAAAUAUAAACAUCACAGUAGUACACAUUUGAUUCUACUGAUGGAAAUGCACUGCUCAUUUUGGGGUGAGAAUGCAUUACUAUUUUUAGACCACUAGGGUACCACUUGACAAGGUCCUAAUGUAUCUCUAUAGAUGAGUUCUCCUUUCUAUUUUAGGAUUAUGAAUAGGGAAAUAUGCAUAAAAAGCACUCAUUUCUUAAAACAGUUUCUCACACUAUCAAAAUACAUUUCAUAUUUGGACUUUACAGAGGAAUGAAUUAUGCAUUUUAAAUUAAAAGUUUAUAAUUUUUCUCUUUUUUGGUACUAGGGGUUGGACCCAGGGCCUUUACACUGAGCUACAUCCUGAACCCUUUUUUGUUUUUUAUUAUUUUUUAAACAGAGUCUUACUAGGUUGCUAAGUUGCCUAGGCUAAACUUGAAUUUGCAGUCUUACUCCCUUGUCCUCCCAAAGUGCUGGGCUUACAGGCCUGCACACUCAGCUCAGAUUUCUUACUUUAGCACAGGGAUUAAAAUUCAUCAGCCUUCAAAAGUAAGUACCUUGUUUUAUUGUCAUCUCUGUGGUUCCUCACGCAGAUCAGAGUGGGUCUAGGCCACCAGAUAUGUAGUUAACAUUUUGUUGUGACUGCUGAAUGGCACUAGUAAGUGGAGAGUGUUUACAAGCUCCCUGAAAGAGUGGACUCGUUCUAACUUCCCUCGGCUUGGAAGAGCCCAUCAUACCCCAUUGGCCAAGAAAGCUCACUUGCCCUCCCCAGGCUUAGGGCUGGGAAAAUGUCCUGCAUGGUGCUAUCCUGGCCCACUUCGAGGAGGUGGGGAACAGUGAGCACCAGAUGUCUGCUGCAUGUCUUCAGGAACAGACACUCCAGUGGGGAAUCAGAGCACCUAGGACAGCACACCAGAGGGAAAGGUACCCUGAAGGCAACAGGAGUACUGUAGUAGGGGUCCCUAGUAGGAAGUCCAGUAGCAACAAGCAGGUGAUGCUUGACCUGAAUCUUGAGUGACCCAUGGUUAGCCAAGAAGUGAAGAUGAGAAGUGUCCUGGCAAAGGAAACAACAGAAUUACACAUGUAGUAACAGUACCGAUUAUUUACCAACUGGCUUCACCUUGUGUCAUUUGUGUAUUGUCUAUUGCCUUAAGAGUCUGAGCACUAUAGGACAGGGUGUUGCUCUCUUCAUCAUUGUGUCUGUGUGUCCCCAUUGCUGUUAUCAUGUGAUUGUGCUCACAGACCUGAUGGGUAGGGAUUUGGGAAGAACACUGCUGGGGAGGUUCUCACUUGGGGUCCCCAAUGCUGGUGGACUGUAGUUACUUGAGGUCCCCCUGGACUACAUGACCAGGCAGUUUCACUGACACAUGGGUUUACCCACAGGGCAGGCCUCAAAGGAGUUAGGCUGCAAAAGUGCAGUAUUCUAAGAGAGGUCUCAGUGGAGGGAAGCUGUAUGGCCUUUUGUGACCACAAUCAUCACGUAAUCUUGAUUCCAUUGUGUUCCAAGCAAGUCACAAGCCCACCCAGGCCCAAAGGGAUGAAAUAGACACUCCCCCUGCAUGAAAGACAUUGUCAAAGGAUUUGUGAACAGCUGCCUGCCCCUGUAGCAAUGUCUGCAAAACAGAUCAACAGAAUUGUGGACCAUAUGACUAUCCAGUAAGGAAGCAGGUUCACCUCUCUUAAUUCUUGUCCACUGUUGGUCUUUCGGCAAUACUGUUUAACCCCUUAUAAAGCCAGGCUCUCUUAUAUUUAUAGUGUGUUUUUAGAAAGUAGGGACAUGCACACAUUUUAUUCCAAGUGGAGGAACUUUUUCUCAGUAAAUCAUUAAAAUAAUAGAGAAAAAAGCACAGAAGGAUAUUAAUGUAAUUUUAGAAUAGGAAAAGUUUCAUAAACAAGAUUUAAAAGUUUUAAAAAGUCACAAAGGAAAAAUUUUAAGUAUUAGGCUUUAUAAAAUUUUUAAAGAUCCCAUAAAGCUGAAAACUAAAAAAUAAACUGGGUAGAGUAUUUUUGAUCUAAGUAACAGACCCAAAGUAGGUGAUGUAAAGUAAACAUAAAGUUUUAUCUCAUAGGGCUAUUGUGAGGCUUAAAUGAAGUUAAGUGUCCACAAUAAAUACUUAAUAAAUGAUAAGUGACAGUGAUACUAACAAAGCACCAACAAAUUUGUAAAAGAAGG
rnacentral:lncRNA from 1 species